UACGUAGGGUGCGAGCGUUAAUCGGAAUUACUGGGCGUAAAGCGUGCGCAGGCGGUGCGCCAAGCUCGAUGUGAAAGCCCCGGGCUUAACCUGGGAAUUGCAUUGAGGACUGGCGUGCUCGAGUGCGGCAGAGGGGGGUGGAAUUCCACGUGUAGCAGUGAAAUGCGUAGAGAUGUGGAGGAACACCGAUGGCGAAGGCAGCCCCCUGGGCCGACACUGACGCUCAUGCACGAAAGCGUGGGGAGCAAAC
rnacentral:rRNA from 1 species